UAUAACAGAAGCAUCCAAUUUGAACAGACUCUCAUAGUGCAUCAAUGGCGGACUCCGUGAUUUCUCCUGAUAUGCUGAAAGCCAUCUGGCAUUCUCAGAUGCACGACGAGGAGAAAUGGGCCCUCAACAUGAAACUGCUGCGUGCUGCUGGGCUGUUUGUGGGAUCAAUUCUUCUGAUGCGCAGUUACGGUGAUCUUAUGGCAAUAUGAGGAAUGAUGGGGUGCCGAUAGGCUGAGCUAAACCUCUACUGAAGUAAACACCCUCUGGUUUUCCCUCCACUCCAUUGUGUUUUUAGGAAGGACAAUAUUAUUUACCCUCACCCUGCUUGGCCUUGCUUAAGGUUCUUCGAAGAAAAAGCUGAACGGAUUUAUUAGAUUUUUUUUUUUUGGGGGGUAUAAAAAUCAUUCUGUACCAAACUGGUUUCACAGGUUUUUCAUUCACUUGGAACAAUAGACAGAAAAAAUAAUAAAAUGUUGUGGUAUGAUUGGA